rnacentral:sRNA from 1 species
AUGUACUUAAUGUACACUCCGGUUCCUGUGCUCUGGGCGCACCUAAACUGACAUCGCUCGCUACAUUUUUCAAAGC